GGUGGUUUAUUGUGUUUAUUCUGGUGGUUUUACUAUUUUAUUUUUUAUUUCACUCUCACAAAAAGCUCUGCUGUACAUCUGUGAAGACAAAUAUAUACACAAGAGAAUUUUAUACCUUAUAGCUCACAAGUAAAACAGACAUGAUCUGUGAAUUCAGAGCAGAGCAAAACAUUUGGGGGACCUGUGCCAAACAGUUAAUUCUGUUCGCCUGGACGUAGCGUUUUCAGUGGGAGAAGCGCUCCGUCACUCAUCCUGCACUGAGUCAAAAAAUGCCGCAAGCCGCAACCUGUGUUUGAAUUCAGACUUUCCAUGUUGUCCAGUUUCAGGCAAGGGAACUGAAAAGUGUGCUGAGGAUAAAUGAUCAAUUAGGCAGAUGUAAAUGAACAACAGCUACAGGCUGGAGGCUCUGACAUCACACCUGAUGGAGAACCUGGAGAGCUGGUCCUUGCUGAUCUUCGGCCCCAGGGCAUUUCAGUCACUGAAGACAUCUUCACCACCUGCUCUUCCAGACGACGGACUCGUGCCUGAACACCUGCAGGUUAACCAACCAACCACUGAUCAGUAAAGCAAAAAAAGGAAACAAUGAGGAUCAUGUUUGCUGGUU